GAUGUAGUGGCGUUACUAAAAUACCGAGACGGUAGCACAUUUGGCUCGAACCUAAGUAGUCCUGAGUUCGAUUCUCAGCUGCGGCA